rnacentral:rRNA from 1 species
AACGAACGCUGGCGGCAUGCCUAACACAUGCAAGUCGAACGGGAUCCAGGCUUCGGCCUGGUGAGAGUGGCGGACGGGUGAGUAACGCGUGGGAACCUGCCCAAUGGUCUGGGAUAACCGCGGGAAACUGCGGCUAAUACCGGAUAAGCCCGAGAGGGAAAGAUUUAUCGCCGAUGGAGGGCCGCGUCAGAUUAGGUAGUUGGUGGGUGAGUGGCCUACCAAGCCUACGAUCUGUAGCUGGUCUGAGAGGAUGAUCAGCCACACUGGGGCUGGAGAUACGGCCCAGACUCCUACGGGAGGCAGCAGUGGGGAAUAGUUGGACAAUGGGGGCAACCCGUGAUCCAGCAAUGCCGCGUGAGUGAUGAA